rnacentral:rRNA from 1 species
GACGAACGCUGGCGGCGUGCUUAACACAUGCAAGUCGAACGGAAAGGCCCUGCUUUUGCGGGGUGCUCGAGUGGCGAACGGGUGAGUAACACGUGAGUAACCUGCCCUUGACUUUGGGAUAACUUCAGGAAACUGGGGCUAAUACCGGAUAGGAGCUCCUGCUGCAUGGUGGGGGUUGGAAAGUUUCGGCGGUUGGGGAUGGACUCGCGGCUUAUCAGCUUGUUGGUGGGGUAGUGGCUUACCAAGGCUUUGACGGGUAGCCGGCCUGAGAGGGUGACCGGCCACAUUGGGACUGAGAUACGGCCCAGACUCCUACGGGAGGCAGCAGUGGGGAAUAUUGCACAAUGGGCGGAAGCCUGAUGCAGCAACGCCGCGUGCGGGAUGACGGCCUUCGGGUUGUAAACCGCUUUCGCCUGUGACGAAGCGUGAGUGACGGUAAUGUGUAAAGAAGCACCGGCUAACUACGUG